UACAACAGUAAUGCAAGUGGGCCUCAGAUUCCGACAACUUUCACUGGCUCGAUGCUUUUGAUUUGAUUUAUUUUCUCUUCUCACUUUUUGCAAAACCAAAAGACAGCACCACAGCAAAGAAAAAACUCCACACAUUUCACUCUACUACGCCCUCUAUUCACACACUCUUUGAAGAGUAAAGUGAAGUAGAGAUGGGGGAAGGAAAAGGGUCGAGUCUAGUUCAUUUACUUGUCAUAGUUUUGAGCUUAACGGCAUUUGGCUUUGCUAUUGCUGCUGAACGCCGCCGAAGCACUGUAAUCCUCCUCUCUCUCUAUCUCUGUGUGUGUGGGUGUGAGUGUGAGUGUGAGUGCGGUUUCAUAAACGUUUGAGCAAGAAUUGAUUUGGGUUUUGUAGAUCACAAUGAAAUGUUAUCAUUUCUUGCUUUGAUUUUGGUUUUCGUAGCAUCUGUUUAGUUUCUUGAAACUAUUUGCUUUGGUGUUUGUUGUUUUGCGAUUUUGGGUUCUCAUAUAAUUGAGAUUUUGGAAGAAUAUUAUGAAUUUUGUGAGGGAUAGUUCAGCAGGUAGUGAUGUCUGCCAAUUUGUGGUUUCUAGUUAUAAAUAUGAAGUAUACUUUGUUAUAUUUUAGCAAGGGAAUUGUUGUUGUGCUUUGGAGCUGUAUCUACACUGAACUGAUAUAUAUGUGAUUAGGUUUAGGCUAUGUUUAAUUACAACCAAUUCCAUUGAAAAUGGAAAUCAAAUUCCAUCUCUCCAAUUUUUUGUUGUUUGAUUGACAAAAUUUUUCCUAAAAUUCGAAUUCCACCUUUUAUACCACCUAAUCUAAUUUCCAUGUUUUCCUUGAAUUCUCGGUUACUAUAGUAUUUUUUUUUCGAUUUUUUGGUAAUGGAAACAAAUUCUAAGAAUUAUUGUAAAAAAAUAUUUCCCUUUAAAUGACAAUUUUUAUGUAAAACAAGACAAAACGAACACCAAAGGAUAAAUGAUUUUUUUGAAAUUUUUUUUUUGUUUUUUUUUUUUUUGUAUGUGUUGGUAAUGGAAACAAAUCUCAUCCCCAAUACCAGUAAAAUCUAUCCGUUUAAUUGACAAUUUUCAUGUAAAACAAAAUCAAACGGAGAUAAAAAAAAUAUUUUUAUUUCAACAUUUUUCACAUGAAAAAUUAUUUUAAUCAAACACAAUAAUUUACAACUUUCAAGAAAAUAAUUUCUAGGCAAUUCAAUUCCCUGUAAUUCGUUUUCAAUUCAAUUCAAUUUCAUCGUUACAAUCAAACGGACCCUUAAUGAAACUUAUGGUUAUUGGAUUUUGCUAACUCGUAGCUUUUAUUAUGAAAUUUGAAAAUUUCUGGCAAAGUUGAAGUGAUAUGACACAGGUGUAGCCUACAAACUAGAAAGCAUGUUUUUAAGGACUUCAGAUUCUGAUUGUAACAUCUUGUUGUUAGGAUCUCUCUCUGUGGUUUCAUAUAGAGGACUUAUUGAUUUCUGAAGGAAGGUUUUGUUGCUUAGAUGUACAUUUAUUUCUUGCAAUUUUUUAGAAGAAUUCG
rnacentral:lncRNA from 1 species